AGAGUUUGAUCAUGGCUCAGGAUGAACGCUGGCGGCGUGCCUAACACAUGCAAGUCGAACGAGGCCCUUUGUAUUCGUACGAAGGUGUCCAAGUGGCGAACGGGUGAGUAACACGUUGGUGACCUGCCCCGAAGAGAGGGACAACCCCGGGAAACUGGGGCUAAUACCUCAUGUGAUCCGAGGCGUUAGAGGGCCUUGGAUUAAAGGAGCAAUCCGCUUUGGGAGGGGCCUGCGGCCCAUCAGCUAGUUGGUAGGGUAACGGCCUACCAAGGCUACGACGGGUAGGGGACCUGAGAGGGUGGUCCCCCACACUGGAACUGAAACACGGUCCAGACACCUACGGGUGGCAGCAGUGGGGAAUAUUGCACAAUGGGCGAAAGCCUGAUGCAGCAACGCCGCGUGCGCGAUGAAGGCCUUCGGGUUGUAAAGCGCUUUUCUGGGGGAAGAGGAAGGA
rnacentral:rRNA from 1 species